CUUGAACCUAUCUCUAAUGGACGCCUUAUGUACAAGAACAAGUUAAUAUUGGUUCAGGACCACCAAGUUCCAAAAUCAGGUGGUUUAGGUCUACCAGCAAUGAGUCACGUUACAUCAACACUGUUACUUUUGAUGCUAAGGAGGGCUCUCCCACUCUUGUGAUGGUUCAUGGUUAUGGUGCUUCUCAAGGCUUUUUCUUCAGAAAUUUCGAUGCUCUUGCCAGUCGAUUUAGGGUGAUUGCUAUUGAUCAACUUGGGUGGGGUGGAUCAAGUAGGCCUGAUUUUACUUGUAAAAGCACUGAAGAAACUGAGGCAUGGUUUAUCGACUCCUUAGAGGAAUGCCGUAAAGCUCAGAAUCUCAGCAACUUUAUUCUAUUAGGACAUUCCUUUGGAGGUUACCUUGCUCUAGUAGACAUGAUGAGUAUGAACCUAAUUAAAGAGAUUCAGGU